UCCCGAGGUUUUCCUCGGCAGUUAACUGCAGCCGGAUUUCAAAUUCCUCAGUAGUUAACUGCCGAGGGGCAA
rfam:Medicago truncatula strain A17 chromosome 3, whole genome shotgun sequence.